rnacentral:rRNA from 1 species
UACGUAGGGGGCAAGCGUUGUCCGGAAUCAUUGGGCGUAAAGCGCGUGUAGGCGGUUCAGUAAGUCUGCUGUGAAAGUCCAGGGCUUAACCCUGGGAUGCCGGUGGAUACUGCUGGACUAGAGUGCGGAAGAGGCGAGUGGAAUUCCCGGUGUAGCGGUGAAAUGCGCAGAUAUCGGGAGGAACACCAAUUGCGAAGGCAGCUCGCUGGGACGUUACUGACGCUGAGACGCGAAAGCGUGGGGAGCAAACAGG